GGCCUAACACAUGCAAGUCGAGGGGCAUCACGAGGUAGCAAUACUUUGGUGGCGACCGGCGCACGGGUGCGUAACGCGUAUGUAACCUACCUAUAACAGGGGCAUAACACUGAGAAAUUGGUACUAAUUCCCCAUAAUAUUCGGAGAGGCAUCUCUCCGGGUUGAAAACUCCGGUGGUUAUAGAUGGACAUGCGUUGUAUUAGCUAGUUGGUGAGGUAACGGCUCACCAAGGCAACGAUACAUAGGGGGACUGAGAGGUUAACCCCCCACACUGGUACUGAGACACGGACCAGACUCCUACGGGAGGCAGCAGUGAGGAAUAUUGGUCAAUGGACGCAAGUCUGAACCAGCCAUGCCGCGUGCAGGAAGACGGCUCUAUGAGUUGUAAACUGCUUUUGUACGAGGGUAAACUCACCUACGUGUAGGUGACUGAAAGUAUCGUACGAAUAAGGAUCGGCUAACUCCGUGCCAGCAGCCGCGGUAAUACGGAGGAUUCAAGCGUUAUCCGGAUUUAUUGGGUUUAAAGGGUGCGUAGGCGGUUUGAUAAGUUAGAGGUGAAAUCCCGGGGCUUAACUCCGGAACUGCCUCUAAUACUGUUAGACUAGAGAGUAGUUGCGGUAGGCGGAAUGUAUGGUGUAGCGGUGAAAUGCUUAGAGAUCAUACAGAACACCGAUUGCGAAGGCAGCUUACCAAACUAUAUCUGACGUUGAGGCACGAAAG
rnacentral:rRNA from 1 species